GUUGAGAGUUGAGACCUCACUUUCGCCUCUCCGAAGAGCCGUCACCUGCCACCACCACUGCCACAUUUUUUUGUUGGUGCAGACAGAGAAAUGCAGAGACUUGCUCUCCCAUAAACGCGCGUGAUAAGGCUUCACUGAUCGAUCGCCAAACAGAGAUCUCUUUUCUAGUUUUCUUCACGACUUAGGAUUUUGUUGAUCCAUGGCAUCGGAGGAUGUGAAGACGAGCGAAGCGGCUGUUACGACUAUCGUCAGUCUAGCGGAGGAGGCUAAGUUGGCUAGAG
rnacentral:misc_RNA from 1 species